ACUCCUACGGGAGGCAGCAGUGGGGAAUCUUGGACAAUGGGCGCAAGCCUGAUCCAGCCAUGCCGCGUGAGUGAUGAAGGCCUUAGGGUCGUAAAGCUCUUUCGCCAGGGAUGAUAAUGACAGUAUCUGGUAAAGAAACCCGGCUAACUCCGUGCCAGCAGCCGCGGUAAUACGGAGGGGGUUAGCGUUGUUCGGAAUUACUGGGGCGUAAAGCGCGCGUAGGCGGGGUUGUUAAGUUAGAGGUGAAAUCCCGGGGGCUCAACCCCGGAACUGCCUUUAAUACUGGCAACCUAGAGUUCGAGAGAGGUGAGUGGAAUUCCGAGUGUAGAGGUGAAAUUCGUAGAUAUUCGGAGGAACACCAGUGGCGAAGGCGGCUCACUGGCUCGAUACUGACGCUGAGGUGCGAAAGUGUGGGGAGCAAACAGGAUUAGAUACCCUGGUAGGAUAGCG
rnacentral:rRNA from 1 species